GGGCUCUAUUCUCAAUGGGGGAGUAUCUGCUUUGCAUGCAGAAGGUCCCAGGUUCAAUUCCUGGCAUCUCCA